UACGUAGGUGGCAAGCGUUGUCCGGAUUUACUGGGCGUAAAGAGCGCGCAGGCGGCUGGUCAAGUCCGAUGUGAAAUCUCCCGGCUUAACUGGGAAACUGCAUCGGAAACUGAUCGGCUUGAAGGUGGGAGAGGGUAGUGGAAUUCCCGGUGUAGUGGUGAAAUGCGUAGAUAUCGGGAGGAACACCUAUGGCGAAGGCAGCUCGCUGGGACGUUACUGACGCUGAGACGCGAAAGCUAGGGGAGCGAACAGG
rnacentral:rRNA from 1 species